rnacentral:rRNA from 1 species
UACGUAGGAGGCAAGCGUUGUCCGGAUUUAUUGGGCGUAAAGCGCACGCAGGCGGUCGUCUCAGUCCAGGGUGACAGUUUCCGGCUUAACCGGAAAAGGACUCUGGAGACGGCACGACUUGAGGGCUUCAGAGGGAUGUGGAAUUCCAGGUGGAGUGGUGAAAUGCGUAGAGAUCUGGAGGAACACCAAAGGCGAAGGCAACAUCCUGGGGAGUCACUGACGCUCGGGUGCGAAAGCUAGGGGAGCGAACGGG